AGCAGGGAGUCCACGUUUGUGCCCCAUCACCCGAUACUCUAGCAACCGAACGGGUACCGAACAAAGGGCCACCUACAGCCUGGCGUGUGGCUCCAAUUAGAAUGUUGGUUUCUGCAGUUAACCGCAGGUUAAGUACCCCCUCCCGGCGGUCUUCAUUCCUCUCCCGAACACCAGAGAUUUCCAGCGACGGAGCGGGGAUUCGUACAGACUGCUAGCCGGUUCUUGUUC